rnacentral:rRNA from 1 species
UACAGGGGGGCAAGCGUUGUUCGGAAUUACUGGGCGUAAAGGGCUCGUAGGUGGCCAACUAAGUCAGACGUGAAAUCCCUCAGCUUAACUGGGGAACUGCGUCUGAUACUGGAUGGCUUGAGUUUGGGAGAGGGAUGCGGAAUUCCAGGUGUAGCGGUGAAAUGCGUAGAUAUCGUAAGGAAGACCAGUGGCGGAAGGCGGGUCUCUGGACAGUUCCUGACGCUGAGGCACGAAGGUCAGGGGAGCAAACGGG